rnacentral:rRNA from 1 species
GACGGAAGGUGCAAGCGUUGCUCGGAAUCACUGGGCGUAAAGGGUGCGUAGGCGGCCGUGUAAGUCUGGCGUGAAAGCCCCGGGCUCAGCCCGGGAAGUGCGCUCGAAACUGCGCGGCUCGAGUGCCGGAGGGGAGAGUGGAAUUCCUGGUGUAGCGGUGAAAUGCGUAGAUAUCAGGAGGAACACCAAUGGCGAAGGCAGCACUCUGGGACGUGACUGACGCUGAGACGCGAAAGCGUGGGGAGCAAACAGG